CUGAAAAGAAACAUGAGCUAGCAGCUGUUGAAAUGUGUAUACAUUUUGGGGAUAUAUAUAUAUAUGUUCAGUUUUCCAAUUUAGCCAGAAUUUAGUUUUAUAUUCAGUUUCAUGAACCAGUAUCUGUUGACAUGACAUUGACUUCCUGCUCAGGCUUUCUCUUGUCUUGGAACCAGAAAACAAACUUCCCUUUAAAAACCCACCUAGGAGGACACAGCCCGAGACAUGGCAGUGCAGUGCUGGCUGCCCCUGCCCCGGAGCUCGCGCCGCCUUCGCCUUCGGCAGCGUCAGUGGCCGCCCUGGCAGCAGGUGUGCUCUUGGUCAGGCAGCUGGAGUUCCAGCCGCUCCUCGGAGACGGAGACGGCCUGGGAGUGGAGGAAGGUGCGCGCUGUCACUUCCUCUUCCCUUUCCCUUAUGGACUUGGCAUGGACUUGACCCUCAUGGAGAGAAGCCUCCUGCCCUGACUCGGCCCUGGAGAACUUGGAGCACCACACGCAGAAGCCAAAUCACUUGACCACCGAGUGGCCUGGGGUCGGUCCGAGUUCUGCAGCGGGUAGAGCCUCAGAAGGGGAGGAAGCCAGACACUGGGAAGUGCUUACAGCCGCGGUCCCGCCUGGGGCUCAGCAGAUCCCAAACCUGCUGAGUGUAGGACGCAGGAGGAGCCGCCCCUCACCUUCUUGCCCUUUGGGCCUCACUUCACAGAAGGUGGGGCGAUGUGGGCGUAAAUCCGUAUCUCCUGUGCUUUCCGAACAAGUUCUCUGCUGAGACCCGCAAGGAAACCUGUGGAGAUUUUUCACUUUGAAGCCGUAACUAAAGUGAUUUCUGCAAAAGCAGCUUGGCGAUACGCACUGAACACCUUCAGGUCGGAUCGUCAGCGGCUUCCGGUCAGCGGCGUCUGCAUCCCGCGGAAGCCCGUCUACGUCUACGCCAUGCUCACGAGGCUGCGUUCCUCUUGGAAGUUGGUUGCAUGGUGAAUAUUACAUUUAUUUUUUCUCCGUGUCUUCCUCUACCGAACUCGUACCUAGUUAUUUUUUUCUCUACGAGGGUAUUUCAGAUGAAAUGCAGCUAUUACAGCAAUGUGGUAACAUAGUGAUUGAACCUUCUUUUGCCCCCCAAAGAUUUCUUACUGUUUGGAGUCCUGACACAAGCUACAUUUUUGACCUGGGGACUGACAGAAACCACCCCCUGCAGGGCCUCGGCUGUCCUCGGGUCGGCCAGGGGUCGGCCGCCGCUGUGGUUGAGUCAGAUGCUGUGUUUGCAAAAUUAAAUCCAAGAGCUGCGUCUCAGCCUCGGCGCUCAGCCCUGGGAAGUAGACAACCUUGAGUGUGCUGUCAAGUUUCCGGCUGCGCCUCCUCACCAGCCCCGGAGGAGGCGGGCUCGCACCAGCCCCCUGGUCUUGUGGAAGCUGGUCUUUGGCCACCAGCUCUCUGUUGCCUUGCUCUGCGAUUAUUCAAGCUGACGUUGAGCACGUGGCCACGUUUCGCUAACUGCCGUAGCCUCUGUUUAUUGCAAGUUCAUCAUGGAUGGAAGCAGCAAGGGGCUCUCUUUCCCUUUCCAUGGUCAGACGAAGGCUGUCACUAUGCCUUGGGUGUACAUAAGGCCUAGGACACUGCAGAAAGUUCUAGACUAGCAAAAGGGGGUCUGAGGCACACACACUAGAAAUAGUAAGGGCAGCACAUCCAGGUGACACCUGGGAACUGCUAGGAACAGCUGAGCUGGAACUGUGCACCGGCAUCACCUGGGCAGACUACAAGACGGUGGUUACGGAAGAGGCAGCUCAGUGGGUUAAAACGACGCCCUCGCCACACAGAUCAAACCGGUAAAUAAUUAGGUCCCUUUAAGCAGUCACCUGAAAACGUUCAGCUGGAGAAAGUCUCCCUGGAAAGCUACCUGGGCCUCUUUGCUAUGUAUCGCCGACUCUGGAUCCCUUUCGGUAAAUGCUGACCUAGAUGGACUUCUAGGAAGCACUGUCAUGCCCCUGCCUAGAAAACACAGUGACGAGGGGAAACCUUUGGGAAUGUUACACUGGGAGGAGGGGGAACGUGAAAUGGCCCAUCCAACCCCACGGCCAUUGUAUAUAGACCAGAAGUGGUGAUGUGUAAACGCAUUGUACUCUGUGCUUGGGCAUUGUACUCGGUGCG